GCCAUUGCUUCAGCUGCCCUGAAAGCAUAUCAAGGCUGACAAAGACUUCGGGAGGAGAAGAGGUCUGGAGCCCCUGGUGGUGGUGCUGGCCUCCAAGACUUAGGAACCUUGAACGCAUGAAUGGUGCUUGAGCCAUGGGAAUACACAGUGCAGAAAAUGCCGUGGUGGAGCCUGUGGGAACAGCAGCACUUCAGGACUGCUGUAGGGGAGUGCCAGCCAUACAGACGUGGAAGAGCUACUCAAAAGAGCCUUUUGUGGAAAAUGAGUCUCUUCAAUGGCAGGCUCAUAAAGAGUUGGUCUCAAAUAUUUCUCCCAUCUUGUUCGUCUUCACCUGGAAACCUGCCUGAAUGGCCCCAGGUAAUAAAACCUUUGCUAGUAACUAUGAAACGAUCACUCUUUUGGAAAAAUAUCCUGGUUCCC
ensembl:lncRNA